rnacentral:rRNA from 1 species
GAUGAACGCCAGCUACAGGCUUAACACAUGCAAGUUCGAGGGGCAGCAUGAUUGAAGCUCGCUUUCAAUCGAUGGCGACCGGCGCACGGGUCGAGUAACACGUAUCCAACCUGCCGAUAACUCGGGGAUAGCCUUUCGAAAGAAAGAUUAAUACCCGAUAGCAUAGUUUUUCUGCAUGGUCUCACUAUUAAAGAAUUUCGGUUAUCGAUGGGGAUGCGUUUCCAUUAGAUAGUUGGCGGGGUAACGGCCCACCAAGUCAACGAUGGAUAGGGGUUCUGAGAGGAAGGUCCCCCACAUUGGAACUGAGACACGGUCCAAACUCCUACGGGAGGCAGCAGUGAGGAAUAUUGGUCAAUGGACGAGAGUCUGAACCAGCCAAGUAGCGUGAAGGAUGACUGCCCUAUGGGUUGUAAACUUCUUUUAUACGGGAAUAAAGUGGAGUAUGCAUACUCCUUUGUAUGUACCGUAUGAAUAAGGAUCGGCUAACUCCGUGCCAGCAGCCGCGGUAAUACGGAGGAUCCGAGCGUUAUCCGGAUUUAUUGGGUUUAAAGGGAGCGUAGGCGGGUGCUUAAGUCAGUUGUGAAAGUUUGCGGCUCAACCGUAAAAUUGCAGUUGAUACUGGGCGCCUUGAGUGCAGCAUAGGUAGGCGGAAUUCGUGGUGUAGCGGUGAAAUGCUUAGAUAUCACGAAGAACUCCGAUUGCGAAGGCAGCUUACUGGACUGUAACUGACGCUGAUGCUCGAAAGUGUGGGUAUCAAACAGAAUUAGAUACCCUGGUAGUCCACACAGUAAACGAUGAAUACUCGCUGUUGGCGAUACACAGUCAGCGGCCAAGCGAAAGCAUUAAGUAUUCCACCUGGGGAGUACGCCGGCAACGGUGAAACUCAAAGGAAUUGACGGGGGCCCGCACAAGCGGAGGAACAUGUGGUUUAAUUCGAUGAUACGCGAGGAACCUUACCCGGGCUUAAAUUGCAGCGGAAUGUAGUGGAAACAUUACAGCCUUCGGGCCGCUGUGAAGGUGCUGCAUGGUUGUCGUCAGCUCGUGCCGUGAGGUGUCGGCUUAAGUGCCAUAACGAGCGCAACCCUUAUCUAUAGUUACUAUCAGGUCAUGCUGAGGACUCUAUGGAGACUGCCGUCGUAAGAUGUGAGGAAGGUGGGGAUGACGUCAAAUCAGCACGGCCCUUACGUCCGGGGCUACACACGUGUUACAAUGGGGGGUACAGAAGGCAGCUACCUGGCGACUGGAUGCUAAUCCCUAAAACCUCUCUCAGUUCGGAUUGGAGUCUGCAACCCGACUCCAUGAAGCUGGAUUCGCUAGUAAUCGCGCAUCAGCCACGGCGCGGUGAAUACGUUCCCGGGCCU